GCGGGUGGGUCAAAAGAGUUUACUAUGCAUAUGAGUAUAUCAUAAGAUGAGUAGAUGCACUACACAAACAAGAUAGGGGUAAGAUAAUGAUAGAUAGGGUAGUGUGACACACACAGAAGAAUCAUCUCAACAUAACUAAGCUAGGGAGAAGGACUAAGAGUAAGAUCUAGGUUCAUAUGUACUUCCUAUAUACUGCAUAGAUCAUACAAGCCUAACAUACACACACAUGGUAUUGAACUUAGUUCUAUGCACCUAGGCACUAUACCGAUCUACCCUCGCAAUUGCUGCUAAUUUAUGAACUCCUACAGUGUACCUGAACAUGGGGGAUUACGAAGGACGGAUAGGGCUAUCACCACCUGCUGCCUACCCCUAGCAACCCGUGGGGCAAACUCA
rnacentral:lncRNA from 1 species